CCUACGGGAGGCUGCAGUGAGGAAUAUUGGUCAAUGGCCGGAAGGCUGAACCAGCCAAGCCGCGUGAGGGAGGAAGGCGCAGAGCGUCGCAGACCUCUUUUGCCGGGGGACAAAAGGCCGGACUCGUCCGGUCCUGAGGGUACCCGGAGAAAAAGCAUCGGCUAACUCCGUGCCAGCAGCCGCGGUAAUACGGAGGAUGCGAGCGUUAUCCGGAUUCAUUGGGUUUAAAGGGUGCGCAGGCGGGCCUUUAAGCCGGCGGUGAAAUCGCGGGGCUCAACCCCGCCGCGCCGUCGGAACUGCAUGGCUGGAGUGCGGGAGGGGCAGGCGGAAUUCCUGGUGUAGCGGUGAAAUGCGUAGAUAUCAGGAGGAACACCGGCGGCGAAGGCGGCCUGCUGGACCGCGACUGACGUUGAGGCUCGAAAGCGUGGGGAGCGAACAGGAUUAGAUACCCGGGUAGUC
rnacentral:rRNA from 1 species